rnacentral:lncRNA from 1 species
UGGGUGAGUUAGGUGAAUUUUCUGUCUGCAGGAGUACCACCUCCAAAGCAUAGGUUAGGAUCUUUGAAUUGGGUAGUUUUUUGCUUCUAGGAGGAGGGCAUGACUGCUUACUAUCAUGAAGGUCCGAGCGAUUGGUUUGGACUCUUUUAGAUAUCCGUAUGCAGAGGACCAAUGUUUAAAGAGCUUGAUGGCUGAAGUGUAGUCUUGCAAGAGGCCUUGACUACAAAGUAAAAGAUGGUCAUAUAUUUAGAGGAGUCCAGCUUUGCAUCCCAAACUACUCAUUGAGGGAGAAGAUCAUUGAGGGGCUCCAUGGACAAGGUCACUUCGGCAAGGACUAAAUAUUUGCUUUGGUCUACAGUGGCUACUCUUGGUCCAAGAUGAAGCAUGUUGUAGAUUGUGUUCUUGGAAUUGCCAGAAGAACACAGAGGGAUUGGAUCCUGUUUUUGUUCUUGUGGAUCGCCUUUCCAAGAUGGUGCGUGCCUUCAAUAUUGUUAAAUUGUUCUUCAAAGAGACAAGUGCAUCUUGAGUCUAUUCAUAAUUCUGUCUCCGAAUGGAUUAGGGGCGCAAACGGGUUGCUUGAGCUUGAGUCGGAUCCGAGCUCGACUCCA